rnacentral:rRNA from 1 species
GAACUAACAGAUUUACUUCGGUAAUGACGUUAGGAAAGCGAGCGGCGGAUGGGUGAGUAACACGUGGGGAACCUGCCCCAUAGUCUGGGAUACCACUUGGAAACAGGUGCUAAUACCGGAUAAGAAAGCAGAUCGCAUGAUCAGCUUUUAAAAGGCGGCGUAAGCUGUCGCUAUGGGAUGGCCCCGCGGUGCAUUAGCUAGUUGGUAAGGUAAAGGCUUACCAAGGCGAUGAUGCAUAGCCGAGUUGAGAGACUGAUCGGCCACAUUGGGACUGAGACACGGCCCAAACUCCUACGGGAGGCAGCAGUAGGGAAUCUUCCACAAUGGACGCAAGUCUGAUGGAGCAACGCCGCGUGAGUGAAGAAGGUUUUCGGAUCGUAAAGCUCUGUUGUUGGUGAAGAAGGAUAGAGGUAGUAACUGGCCUUUAUUUGACGGUAAUCAACCAGAAAGUCACGGCUAACUACGUGCCAGCAGCCGCGGUAAUACGUAGGUGGCAAGCGUUGUCCGGAUUUAUUGGGCGUAAAGCGAGCGCAGGCGGAAGAAUAAGUCUGAUGUGAAAGCCCUCGGCUUAACCGAGGAACUGCAUCGGAAACUGUUUUUCUUGAGUGCAGAAGAGGAGAGUGGAACUCCAUGUGUAGCGGUGGAAUGCGUAGAUAUAUGGAAGAACACCAGUGGCGAAGGCGGCUC